rnacentral:rRNA from 1 species
CGCACUUUCUAAGUAUAAGCAAUUAUACAGCGAAACUGCGAAUGGCUCAUUAUAUAAGUUAUCGUUUAUUUGAUAGUACCUUACUACUUGGAUAACCGUGGUAAUUCUAGAGCUAAUACAUGCUAAAAACCCCGACUUCGGAAGGGGUGUAUUUAUUAGAUUAAAAACCAAUGCCCUUCGGGGCUCACUGGUGAUUCAUAAUAACUUCUCGAAUCGCAUGGCCUUGCGCCGGCGAUGGUUCAUUCAAAUUUCUUCCCUAUCAACUUUCGAUGCUAGAGUAGUGUUCUAGCAUGGUUACAACGGGUAACGGAAGGUUAGGGCUCGACCCCGGAGAAGGAGCCUGAGAAACGGCUACUACAUCCAAGGAAGCAGCAGGCCGCGCAAAUUACCCAAUCCCGACACGGGGAGGUAGUGACAAUAAAUACUGAUACAGGGCUCUUUUGGGUCUUGUAAUUGGAAUGAGUACAAUUUAAAUCCCCUAACGAAGAAACAAUUGGA